UGAAUGCGUUGGGUGAUCGCUCCCGUCUGAUUGCGAAGCUUUCGUCGGGGGAGGAAAGUCCGAACACCCCUUAAAUUUUUAAGGAUGUAGGCAGUGGGUAACGCCCACCUUCCGAAAUAAUAUUCGGAACGGGACAGUGCCACAGAGACAAUACUAACCGCGAUUAAUAUCGAGGUGAAAGGUGAAAAGUAUCCUUCAAAAGGAUUCGCUCCGAACGCAAGGUCGGAGCGUGGAAAACCCUGCCUGGUGCAAGGCCGUGCUCCGACCUAUGUCGGAGAGUGCCGCUUCAGACCCGCCGUAAGACGGGAUCGAGAUAAAUGAUCACACAUCUGCCGAAGAGGCAGAGGACAGAAUUCGGCUUAUAGACGCAUCUCUAAA
rfam:Candidatus Giovannonibacteria bacterium RIFCSPLOWO2_12_FTLL_44_15 rifcsplowo2_12_scaffold_2481, whole genome shotgun sequence.